rnacentral:rRNA from 1 species
AAUGGGCGAAAGCCUGAUCCAGCAAUGCCGCGUGAGUGAUGAAGGCCUUAGGGUUGUAAGCUCUUUUACUAGGGAUGAUAAUGACAGUACCUAGAGAAUAAGCUCCGGCUAACUCCGUGCCAGCAGCCGCGGUAAUACGGAGGGAGCUAGCGUUGUUCGGAAUUACUGGGCGUAAAGCGCGCGUAGGCGGUUACUCAAGUCAGAGGUGAAAGCCCGGAGCUCAACUCCGGAACUGCCUUUGAAACUAGGUAGCUAGAAUCUUGGAGAGGCGAGUGGAAUUCCGAGUGUAGAGGUGAAAUUCGUAGAUAUUCGGAAGAACACCAGUGGCGAAGGCGACUCGCUGGACAAGUAUUGACGCUGAGGUGCGAAAGCGUGGGGAGCAAACAGGAUU